UCUAUAAUAGUCUAGCAAAGAUAUAAAAUUUAGAAUUUUAAGAAGUAAUUACUUGUAGAA
rnacentral:tRNA from 1 species